GUGCAGUAGGUAAGAGGUGAUCACCCUCAUUAUGGUCUUAAUGGGACACUGUAGGUCCAGCAGAGUAGUCCACAGGAGGGGGUCACCCUCAGCAUGAGUAGCACUGUAAGAAUAGUAGCACAAUCAUUGGGAGGGGUACCCUACUUAUGGGUAUGCCCGGACACUGCAGGUCCAGCAGUACAGACUGUAGGAGGGGUUCACCCUCAGUAUG